UCGGGAAUUUUGGGCAAUGGGCGAAAGCCUGACCCAGCAACGCCGCGUGAAGGAUGAAGUAUUUCGGUAUGUAAACUUCGAAAGAAUAGGAAGAAUAAAUGACGGUACUAUUUAUAAGCUCCGGCUAACUACGUGCCAGCAGCCGCGGUAAUACGUAGGGAGCAAGCGUUGUUCGGAUUUACUGGGCGUAAAGCGUGCGUAGGCGGUUCGUUAAGUCCGUUGUGAAAGCCCUGGGCUCAACCUGGGAAUUGCAGUGGAUACUGGCGAGCUAGAGUACGGUAGAGGAUGGUGGAAUUCCCGGUGUAGCGGUGAAAUGCGUAGAGAUCGGGAGGAACACCCGUGGCGAAGGCGGCCAUCUGGACCAGUACUGACGCUGAGGCACGAAAGCGUGGGGAGCAAACA
rnacentral:rRNA from 1 species